GAGAAAUUCCGGAAUCAAACCAGUACCGCCGUUGGAACGAAAGUAGGCACGGUGAAGAUACCACAGGUAACAACUACCAGGAAGGGCAAGAAUCCUUUCGCUAUGAAGCUGCCCAGGUGUGGAACAGGCUACCUAAUGAGCAAUGGGCUUGCCUAGGAAUUAAGACAGUGACAAAAGGUGCCCAGGAGACAGCGGGCUAACCAGAGGUUGCCCAGGGAGACAGCGGGCUAACCUGGUGACUAGGGAGAUAAAUAUGUCAGAAAGAAUGAAUAGGUAGGUGAGAAGAAUAAUAGGGGUCCAAAUCAAUUUCAGUAUCUCACUGAAGAAGAAACGAUCAGACAGUGCUAAACAGGGGUCAUUUUCCCUAAACAUCCAAACUUCUCAUAUGCUUCCAUUCACUUCUGGCUUGCACUUCGAUAAUGUCCACCUGUUAAACGCCAGCAGAUACAUUGCCUUGAAUGUUGUUUGGUCGAUGUACAUUUUCCAGGACCGCUGAUGAUCUGGACAUUAAUGUAGUACAGAGUGGUUCCGCAAUCUCCUCAUCCUCGUGACAAGUGAUUUCUUUGCAUUGAAGUGCACAAUCCGUACCUCUUCCUUGCACGUGGUCUUCAAAGGACGGAGCAGUCAAUAUAUGUAGUGAUGGUCCUGUAUAAAAGACAGCAAUCUACCUGCUUCUUUUUGUCCUUGUCUCAUCUGUUUCCAUCUCCUCUAGAGUUUUAAGAAACGGUGCAUCACAAGGGUGGCCAUCACUGAAGUUUGUAGUUCAUUUGAAUGCUGUGAGCUUCAUUUGAUCCAUGAUUUCACUUGAGCUCCAUGACUUAAAACAAUAAACGUGGAUACAUUCAGCAAGUAAUACAUUUUUCAAAGAUGGAAGAUAAUGUGACGACAUGUUAACAUUCUUCAACACUGCAGGCAUAUUAACGACGAGAUGAGACGAAAGGAAAAGACGGGCAUGUAAGACAAGCUAAACACUAUUCAGUUUGUUCGAGAAGUUUGACACUCGACAUCAAUUAUUUAAAUACUGGUAAAACAUCAAAAUGUAAGUUAAAUUGGUGAUUUAUGUCAGACGUAAAUGUAUUGGUUUUGUCACAGCUCAACAAGAUGGUGGUGAAAAUUGAGUUAACCAUCUCGUGGGAGAAGGUUGUAAAAAUAUAUACGAGACUAAGAUUGUCAUGUUUUAGGAGCUAGGCCUAACGGAAUGUUCAAAUUGAGGAACUAGACGGGUGGUUAUUCCCGGUAAAGAUUAGUUGCUGGUGAGUUCUAACACAAUCAAUGUGUGGAUGGUAGACCAAAAAGUUACCGAUGAGGAGGCUUUCUGAAGCAGAAGGAAUGACACCAUGCUGGUUGUAUAACAAGGGAAACUAUUUCAGCUGGAACAAAAUAAUGGCGAGAAGUGGAAAGGCUUCCCGAGGAUGUAGUGCUACAAGGGUCGAUGAAGUCAUCAUUCUUCCAUGAUGAACCUCUAAUGCCUUUACAGCUUCCCAACAAUGAUUCUGUGAUGAUGCUUUUUAUACAUGGGCACCUUGACGUUGACCUCUACUGGCUGGUUGGCUCACCGACAAUGUAUCUGUUGUACGUUUUUCAUGCUCUUGUCUCAUUGACUGCUAAUGAUACUACAAUCUUAUUUCGUAAACUUGUUUUUUGGUCAUUUAACUUUGACCUCAAAUGGCUGCUUGAACAUCAAACAGAUUUUCUCCCCACCCCUUGUUACAUCAGCCCUGAUCACCUGUCAAUGGUGGCUUCAACUCCUGUAACAGUACCUAUUUUAGCGCACGCCAAUUUCAGCCCAAAUUUUGAACAGAUUAGUAAAUUGAAGAGUUAGUGUUUCCAAAAUACUGUAUAUGCAAUAGAAAGGGAUAUUCAGAAAAAUCAGAGCAAUCAAAAUCAAAAGUGAAAAGUGCUCAAAUAAAAUUACCCCUAAAAUAUGCACACCAGAUCACAGUACAACCCGUCUCUUUGAACUUUGACCUAUGUCACUGUAGUGGUCUCUAGUAUGUAGUAUUUACCUACCUCAUUAUGUCGAGGGUCGGCCCUAAUAAAAGGUAUACAUAUUAAUCAGUAAUAAAUACUUAGAAUUGGUGACAUACACAAUUUAUACCAAUAACUCUACAUCUAAUCUCCAAACGAAGGAAACUCUCUACAAAAAUAACAAAACACUUGAUAUGCAUAUUACAUUUUUAUUACAAAAAAUAUUGGAAUGUUUAUUUCUGUAGAACAUCUGGUAUAUAACAUAACAAAAUAGAUAUACAAAAUAAAAUAUGUAUAUACUUUAUAGAUUACUGUAUAAGAUAUGACUAAACACAGUUACAUGGACUACAUAUUAUACUAUAAAUCAGCAUGUAGGAAAGGUAAAUGGAUAACAUCUCGGAUGUUUUUGGUCGUAUUGAGCACUGUCAUGUUGUUUAUAACCUACUUCCCUAAAUGUUGUAUAUAAAGUACUACAACAAAAAUAACAUCACUUCUUUGGGCAGGUCACUGUUGUCUUUGUAGAUGUGAGCAAAAUAAUCUUUAUCAAAAUAGUCUUUUAGGAUAAUCAAUAACAUUUCAUAAGAUAAUAUCACAAAAUAUUGGAAUUAACAUUGUACCUUGGUCACGUUUUUAAACAUUUAAUCAGUAUCUGUAAAUUUUAUAAACACCUACGGGGUAUCAGCUGUUAAUUGGUAUCUGUAACUUUAUAAACUAUUUUGAGGACUUUCAUCUGUUAAUUGGUACCUUUGACUUUAUAAAUUAUUUGAAAGGGUAUCAACUGUUGAUUGGGAUGUGUAAAUAUUAUAAACACUUUAGGGGUAUCAACUGUUAAUUGGGAUGUGUAAAUAUUACAAACACUUUAGGGGUAUCAACUGUUAAUUGGGAUGUGUUAAUAUUAUAAACACUUUAGGGGUAUCAACUGUCAUUUACAAACACAUUACCAAUACUACAUGCCUCAAACAGUACAUAUCAUAACCUUGUCUUACUUCCAAUUCAAAUGUAUAGUAACCUAAUUUAUAAAUAUAUAUAUAUAUUGAACACGUGAGUCCCCCUGAUGAACCUC